rnacentral:lncRNA from 1 species
AUGAACAAAGCUAGUGGAAGUGAUGAAAUUCCAGUUGAGCUAUUUCAAACCCUGAAAGAUGAUGCUGUGAAAGCACUGCACUCAGUAUUCCAGCAAAUUUGGAAAACUCAGCAGUGGCCACAGGACUGGAAAAGGUCAAUUUUCAUUCCAAUCCCUAAGAAAGGCAAUGCCAAAGAAUGCUCAAACUACUGUACAAUUGCACUAAUCUCAUACACUAGCAAAGUAAUGCUUAAAAUUCUCCAAGCCAGGCUUCAACACUACGGGAACUGUGAACUACCAGAUGUUCAAGCUGGAUUUAGAAAAGUCAGAGGCACCAGAGAUCAAAUUGCCAAAAGCCACUGGAUCAUGUCAUGGAAAAAGCAAGAGAAUUCCAGAAAAACAUCUACUUCUGCUUUAUUGACUAUGCCAAAGCUUUUGACUGUGUGGAUCACAAAAAAACUGUGGAAAAUUCUGAAAGAGAUGGGAAUACCAGACCACCUGACCUGCCUCUUGAGAAAUCUGUAUGCAGGUCAGGAAGCAACAGUUAGAACUGGACAUGGAACAACAGACUGGUUCCAAAUAGGAAAAGGAGUACGUCAAGGCUGUAUAUUGUCACCCUGCUUAUUUGACUUAUAUGCAGAGUACAUCAUGAGAAAUGCUGGAAGGGAAGAAACACAAGCUGGAAUCAAGAUUGCCGGGAGAAAUAUCAAUCACCUCAGAUAUUCAGAUGACACCACCGUUAUGGCAGAAAGUGAAGAGGAACUAAAAAGCCUCUUGAUGAAAGUGAAAGAGCAGAGUGAAAAAGUUGGCUUAAAGCUCCACAUUCAGAAAACGAAGAUCAUGGCAUCCGGUCCCAUCACUUCAUGGGAAAUAGAUGGGGAAACAGUGGAAACUGUGUCAGACUUUAUUUUUGUGGGCUCCAAAAUCACUGCAGAUGGUGACUGCAGCCAUGAAAUUAAAAGACGCUUACUCCUUGGAAGGAAAGUUAUGACCAACCUAGAUAGCAUAUUCAAAAGCAGAGAUAUUACUUUGCCAUCAAAGGUCUGUCUAGACAAGGCUAUGGUUUUUCCAGUGGUCAUGCAUGGAUGUGAGAAUUGGACUGUGAAGAAAGCUGAGCACUGA